rnacentral:tRNA from 1 species
GUUGUUGUUGCCGAGUGAUUAAGGCGAUGGACUUGAAAUGCAUUGGGGUUUCCCCAGCGCAGUUCAAAUCCUGCCAACAACG